AUACGGAGGGUGCGAGCGUUAAUCGGAAUUACUGGGCGUAAAGCGUGCGUAGGCGGUUUGGCAAGUCAGGUGUGAAAGCCCUCGGCUCAACCGAGGAACUGCACUUGAUACUGCCAGACUGGAGUUCGGGAGAGGGUAGCGGAAUUCCGGGUGUAGGGGUGAAAUCCGUAGAUAUCCGGAGGAACACCGGUGGCGAAGGCGGCUACCUGGACCGAUACUGACGCUGAGGUACGAAAGCGUGGGGAGCAAACAUGAUUAGAAACCCCAGUAGUCC
rnacentral:rRNA from 1 species